rnacentral:RNase_P_RNA from 1 species
GAUAUUCGCUCCAUCCCACGUGGACUGGAGAGGAAAGUCCGGACACCGUAGGGCAGGAUUCCUUCCGAAAGGGAGGGAGGCUCGGUUCAAGCUGAGUCGACGGCUAGUGCCACAGAAAACAAACCACCCCGUUAUGCGGGGUAAGGGUGAAAAGGUGGGGUAAGAGCCCACCGCUCCCGAGGCAACAAGGGGGGCAAGGUAAACCCAUUCCGGUGCAAGGCAAAAUAGGGGACCGAGCGGCCCGCUCAAUGGUUCCGGGUAUGCCGCAUCCUCUUAGGAGGAGCUGACCUUGUGUCGGCAGAUGAAUGAAUAUCGCUGAGCUUUAUGCUCGGUUACAGAAUCCGGCUUAUGC